rnacentral:rRNA from 1 species
CACGUAGGGUGCGAGCGUUGUCCGGAAUUAUUGGGCGUAAAGAGCUCGUAGGCGGUGUGUCGCGUCGGCCGUGAAAACCUGCAGCUCAACUGUGGGCUUGCGGUCGAUACGGGCAUCACUGGAGUUCGGCAGGGGAGACUGGAAUUCCUGGUGUAGCGGUGAAAUGCGCAGAUAUCAGGAGGAGCACCGGUGGCGAAGGCGGUUCUCUGGGCCUUACCUGACGCUGAGGAGCGAAAGCGUGGGGAGCGAACAGG